rfam:Otolemur garnettii contig191078, whole genome shotgun sequence.
GCCGGGCGUUGUGGCGGGCACCUGUGAUCCCAGCUACUUGGGAGGCAGAGGCAGAAGAAUCGCUUGAGCCCAGGAGUUGGAGGUUGCUGUGAGCUGUAAUGCCACGGCACUCUACUCAGGGGGGCAGCUUGAGGCUCUGUCUCAAAAAAAAAAAAAAUUGGCAGUUAAGAGGUAGGUAGUUAUAGCCUCAGAUAACAGUUGUCUCUGAGGGGAUGAGAUUGUGGGUGGUAUUUCUUUUUUUUUUUUUGAGACAGAGCCUCAAGCUGUCCCCCUGGGUAGAGUGCCGUGGCAUCACAGCUCACAGCAACCUCCAACUCCUGGGCUCAAGCGAGUCUCCUGCCUCUG